CCUACGGGAGGCAGCAGUGAGGAAUAUUGGUCAAUGGGCGCGAGCCUGAACCAGCCAAGCAGCGUGAGGGAGGAAUGCGCUGAGCGUUGCAGACCUCUUUUACAGAGGAAUAAAAGGCGGUACGUGUCCGGUUUUGAGGGUCCCUUGAGAAAAAGGAUCGGCUAACUCCGUGCCAGCAGCCGCGGUAAUACGGAGGAUCCGAGCGUUAUCCGGAUUUAAUGGGUUUAAAGGGAGCGUAGAUGGGUCUUUAAGUCAGUUGUGAAAGUUUGCGGCCCAACCGCAACGAUGCAUUCGAUACUGGGAGCCUUGAGUACAGCUGAGGUAGGCGGAAUGCGUGGUGUAGCGGUGAAAUGCGUAGAUAUCACGAAGAACCCCGAUUGCGAAGGCAGCGUGCUGAGCUGCCACUGACGCUGAGGCACGAAAGCGCGGGGAUCAAACAGGAUUAGAUACCCGUGUAGUC
rnacentral:rRNA from 1 species